rnacentral:sRNA from 1 species
UUUUUAACAUCACGACGAACUUUGGCGUAAAGUAAACGUUACUCCUUGGGAAACAUUCAAAUGUAUGUUUUAUACCGUGAACAUAUUGUUAUUCACUCUGUGCAAAUGGGACGCGAAAAGCAUAAUUUACGUGUAGUAAUUAAGAAACGGAGGGGCAAAAGUAAAUUAAUGUGAGGAGGACAAGUGGAGCAAUUUCGGAAUGAAACUGGGUUACGAAACUCAUCAUAGUCCACUAUAUGUCUAGGUAACUAAGUGCGUUUACGGCUAUUUCAGUAUUGUACGUGGUAUUAUUGCGAGAUCUGGAAUACUUUGACUAUAGUUUGUUGAUUUACAACACGUUAACUUCCCUAUGCAGUUUCAGAGAGCCCAUAUAUACGGGUACAAUCAUGUAUAUACAAGUCAAGAUAACGGCGAACAGACGGAAAAUGCAAGCAACGCCGAAAUCGCACAUUUGUUCCGCGUGUACACUGUGCAUGCAUGCAGCUUUUGACAGUGGCAGCCUUGGGGAAAAGUUAAUUAAUCAAUGACAUUUAUAUUAAAGCAUAUCAUAAUUU